GACAGAGGGUGCAAACGUUGUUCGGAAUUACUGGGCGUAAAGCGCGUGUAGGCGGCUAAGUAAGUCGGGCGUGAAAUCCCACGGCUCAACCGUGGAAGUGCACUCGAAACUGCGUAGCUAGAGUCCUGGAGAGGAAGGUGGAAUGCUUGGUGUAGAGGUGAAAUUCGUAGAUAUCAAGCGGAACACCGGUGGCGAAGGCGGCCUUCUGGACAGUGACUGACGCUGAGACGGCGAAAGCGU
rnacentral:rRNA from 1 species